AGGGGCCGGGGUGGGAACGCCCUUCCCUGCGGGCUCCACCCAAGUGCAAGAGCCACUGGGGAUGUCAGGGAGAGUGGGGAGCACAGCCAAUCAGGGACAUCGCCAGCAGCACUCCUGCCCCGGGGCAGGCCCCUUCACCACCCCCCCCCCCCAGAGACUUCAGCCAAAGGUCCCGAGUUCAGGUCUAGUCAUUCUGCCCUUUUGUGUCCUUAGGGCAAAAUCAAGGCUGGGCACAAAGACGUCACCGUAAGAAUUCUUGUUACCAAGAAUGCUCUUCCUCAUGGCCCCAUAUAGGAGCCAACUCAGUGCUCCUAGAGAAAUUGUAGUUCCUCCAGGAUAGAGAACUGGGCAGCCAUGUAAAAUGACUCAGCAGAAGAUCGUUUAUUGACAUGGAAUAUUUGCCACUCCGUCCCGUGUGCGGGUAGACGAUGAGCGCACGGUGGGGUUCUGCGUGUCUGUGCAGGCGAGCGCUGAAAGAAGACAGCACGGGACGGUAACCACAGUGGUUUUGGGGAGUCCAGGCAGCUGGCCUCUGGCCUGGGGGUGUCAGCAAGACCCCUGGUGUCACCACGAGUGCAGGUAUUGAACGCAGGAACCCUCCCCCCAGGGGCCCAUCAGUGCCCGGUGGCUGGAGAAGAGAGCAGGGGUGGGCGUGAGAUGACCUAAACAGGCCUGGCAGGAGGGCCAGGGGAAUGGCCACCAAGAGCAGGGUGGAGAGACCACCGUGCCUCACUCCCUCCAAGGCUGGCAUCCGGUAUGGCAGGGCCACAGGUUAAGAAGCUGGAAGACCCCCCCACCACCACCAGCUGGUGAAGAUCUGCUGCCCCGAUGAAUCCUCCUCCCUGAGGCCCCCAGACUCCCCACACGGCUGAGGGGCUCCCACCCUGCUCGGGAGUCGUCCCUAGGUGGCCCCAACAGCCCUCCCCUGUGCCCUACAAGUGCCCCCCGGGACUCUGCUGCAAACCAGGCAGCUUGGCAGGGCCAGGGGCGUCCCCUACACUGAGAAGACCCUGGCUCAACCUCCCUGGACAGCCAUCAGGUCUUGUCCAUGGGGAGCAUCGGGGGCUUGGGACAGAAACUUGUUCUCAAGUGGAGCAAAGCGAAGCAGGUGAUUUUGCCACGGUCCUGGGUUUUUUUCCUGCUCAUGUUGGCACAGGAGCUCAGCAGAGUGGGGACCUGGGGAGAGGCUCUUGUUAAGGCCCCUCUAGGACCGUCACCUGGAUUACAGGAAGAGCCGCCAGCGCACAGCUCAUGCGGGGCUGAUGAUUACAGAGCCCUCGCCGCACGCCAUGUUCUCUCGGCCAUCUGGGCCUCUCCGCAGCAGGACAAAGCUCAGAGGUUUCUCUGAGGCUCAGAGCUGGGACUUAGGGCCGCCGCAGAGGAGUGGCGGACGUCAUUCGGUCCACAGUAGCACCGGAGUGGGGCCAGGAACACAUUUGCCUCGCUGACACCUGCCAGCGUCUGUGGGUUGAGGCUGCUUCCUGGGGGUGCGCGGCCCACGCCGCAGACCGUCUGGGCUGGGAGCCCCUGGGUAAUGGGAUAUGCAGAUGCGUGCGCCUUUGCCAGGCAGAAUGGCAGGACUCUUCUCCAGGCGAGGCAAUUUACAGCAAAAUAUGCUGUAAAUAUUUGUUCAGCCCAGGAAAAUGACUUUAAUUGCAUAAUUAAACUCGUUGUAGAUGCUGCUUCCGGACAAAACGAUGGGGGAGAAGAACUGAGCCCACAGCUGUCCCUCCGAGCUUCCUGACUGGAGGGACAGGCUGCUCUUCACAGGCUGCGCUGGGGCCUGUCUUUCCACGGAGCAACGGCAACUUUGAGAACAGACAGGGAGGGCGAAGGAAAAAGCAAGGGGUGUUGAAGUGUGGAGGGAGCAGAAGAGGUCACCUACUCAGAGGACCAGUGGCGGGUGUGGGGGGCAUCCAGACCCUCAGGCAGGAUUUAGCACGGUUUCCAAAUGUCCCAUGCACGUCCCACCUUCCACAGACAGGGGCCACUUGAGCAGGUGAUGAACCCAUGUGAGGGGGAGAGGAGGGGUAGGCUGAGAGACGCCUGCUUUUAUCUAUUUAUUUAGACAUUUGCUUUAAAAAAACCAACACCCAGCACCCCCCACCAACAUAGCCUCCCGAGUACAAUCCUAAGUGAAGAAGCUGGCCACAGAGGACACAGGUGCCAUGUGCCCUGUUCAUGGGAAAUGUCCCCAGCUGGGACCGAAGGCAGGUCAGAGAUUGCCAGGGGCUGGGGAGAAACUGGGAGGGAGAAAGAGAUGCUAACGGGGACAGGGUUUAUUUGGGGGUGAUGGGAAUGCCCUAAAGUUAGAUCGUAGUGAAGUUUCCACAAUCCUGUGAAUUUAUUAAAAGCCAUUGAAUUAUGCAUUUUAAAUGGGUAAGUUUUAUGGAAUGUGAAUUAUUGCUCCAUAAAAUUGCUAAAAAAAAAAAAAAGAGGAAAAAAUACAACAACAACAAAAGUUCACUUAUUAGAAACCAGUGUCCUUCCAGGGCCGUGCUGAGGCUGGCACGUGCCAUAUGAAGGAGGGGGGGAGGGAGGAAGAAGCAAGCGCAGCAGAGAACCGAGGGGCACGGACUUCCUCAUUCAGGUCCACCGCCACUUUACUGCCAGGCCAGGGAGCCUCCUGGACCCCGAGCACUGCACACGUCACCUCAUCAAUGACCAGAGGGGAAACUGAGGCUGUAGGAGACGGAGGCUGCAAAAGCCACUUGACCAGCAGGUGGCAGAGCUGGGACCCUCAGGAGCCUCCAUCUCCAUCCUGAUGGCAUUGAUCUUGAGCCGUGGCUGUGACCCCAGAUGGGUGCUCGGCAGAGGGAAGAACUCUGGGGUCAGGAGACCAGGAAGCUCACCCAGCCCCGCCAGCCACCAGGAAGCCCACCUAGGUUGGCACGGGCAUCAGAGGGGAGGGUCUGGCGCACAUCACAGCAGUAGGAAAGGUCUAGGCACAGGGCAGGGUCCUGGACUCGGGGUCCAUCAGUGGCACGAGGGUCCCAUUUCCUCCUCCCCGUCCCUGGUAGCAGAGUCCAGUGAUGGAAGAACUCACUGCAGCCUGAGACUCCUAAAGUGCUCUGGGUGCCUUGCCUGUCCCUGAGCCUCAGCUUCCCUGGCUGCACAAGUGCUCUGUCCUGCUUCUUGGAAGUCUUUCCUUCCAAGAAGGGGAGAGUCACUUGGCUUUUUGGUGGGGCUCUUAGGUCUAGGAUUCGGGGGCGGGAGUAUAGCUCAGUGGGGAGUGGUUGCCUAUUAUGGGAGAAGCUCUGGGUUCCAUCCUCAGCACUGUCAGAAUAAAAUAAAGAGGAAGAAGAGGAACUGGAGGUGAGUGAGCCCUCGUAAGAGACCAGGCAGAGCCUGACUUCAUGGAGACGUGACAGCCAAGGCACUUUGCACCCUGAAAUCCCAUGGCACUUAGCACCCCUCCUAAAACCCCACCGCUGCCCCCACUCACCCCUUUUAUGACACCAUCUGCUCCCCAGGUACAGGCGAGAUCUUUCAGUCCCAGGCCAAGGACAUGGGGGGCAACACCCUCAUGGGCACACUCUAUGUGCCCCAGACCUUCCACCCUGGCCCACAGCCUGCUGCCCCUCUGUCUUCAGGGGCUUGAGUGACAGUUGACUCCCGCCACAGGACACUGGACUAGCUUUAAGAAAAGCCCUCAGCAUCUCGUAGGGAGGCAGAAGGGGGCCUGUUCUGCCCCCUUCCCCAUCAGGAAGACCUUGGCUGCCUGUUGCCAGGGCCCCCGUGUGAGGGGCAGCCUGCCUGGGCUGCAGGAAGGCGGCUCCCUGAACCCAGUGGCGUCCAGCCUGGGUUGCCUGGAAGUCCCCUGCCAAGGCUGAAGUUCUGGGUCUAGUUGAGCGGGCCUGGGCCGCCCAGAACUGGCUGCAGGGCACUGGUCUGGUCUGGUUGGAGCCUCCCAGGAUGAGCACAGCCCCCCAGAGUUGGCACAAACCCCUGCCCCACGUCCCGCUGGUUAAUGGAACACUGCCCUCAGAGGUGAACUCGGGGCUGGCCUGGGUGGGCGUGGAGGUCGCGGGUCCCCCUGAAGCGAGGCAAGGGCUUCAUCACCAUGAAGGACAGAGCCCAGGGAGCCAGAGGCCCCGGUGACUCAUGCGGCAGCUGCUCCCCCAUUAUGUAAAGCGGAACUCGGAGCCAUUAGCCGGCUGCAGGCUCAGGGGACGGGAGGACACUGCUGCCAUGUCGGUCUGGGAGAGAAGAGAUGGAGCCGAGAUCCACUUUCUGUCUCUCUCCUUGGGCAGAAGCACAAUCCAUCUGGGUGGCAGAAUUAAAUUUUGAUCUGUCCGAUUUCUUCCAUCACA